UACGUAGGGGGCAAGCGUUGUCCGGAAUUAUUGGGCGUAAAGCGCGCGCAGGCGGUGAUUUAAGUUUGGUGUUUAAGGCCGGGGCUCAACCCCGGUUCGCACUGAAAACUGGAUGACUUGAGUGCGGGAGAGGAAAGUGGAAUUCCCGGUGUAGCGGUGAAAUGCGUAGAUAUCGGGAGGAACAUCGGUGGCGAAGGCGGCUCUCUGGACCACAACUGACGCUGAGGCUCGAAAGCUAGGGGAGCAAACAGG
rnacentral:rRNA from 1 species